rnacentral:snRNA from 1 species
AUUCUUUAAAGUAUACUGAGUAGAUAAUAAAUAAAAAAAAAAAAAUCUGUUCUUAUCAGUUUAAUAUCUGAUACGUCCCCUAUCUGGGGACCAUAUAUUAAAUGGAUUUUUGGAACAGGGAGAUGGAAGAAGAGCUUGCUCUGUCCACUCCACGCAUCGACCUGGUAUUGCAGUACCUUCAGGACAGGUACUUCUCUU